rnacentral:lncRNA from 1 species
UCUGCAGCUUCGCUCCUGAAGUCAGAGAGACCACGAACCCACCGGGAGGAACAAACAACUCUGGACGCACCACCUUUAAGAGCUGUAACACUCACUGCGAAGGUCUGCGGCUUCACUCCUGAAGUCAAGCAAGACCACAAACCCACCGGAAGGAAAAAACUCCAGACACAUCUGAACAUCUGAAGGAACAAACUCCAGACGUACCAUCUGUAAGAACUGUAACACUUACCGCGAGGGUCCGCGGCUUCAUUCUUGAAGUCAGCCAGACCAAGAACCCACCGGAAGGAACCAAUUCUGGACACAGUAUGGUUGGUCCACAAGAGAGGUGAAAUUUGGAUGCAGAGACAAGCAUGCAGGGAGAACGUCAUGUGAAGAUUUGAGUUAUGCUGCCAAAAGACAAGGACCUACCAGAAGCUGGAAGAGAAGCCUGGAACAGAUCCUUCCCCAGAGACUUCAGAGGGAACAGGACCCUCCCAGCACAUUGAUCUUGGACGUGUAGUCUCCAGAACUAUGAGACAAUAAAUAUCAGUUGUUUAAGCC